UAACAGGUGACGGGGAAUCAGGGUUCGAUUCCGGAGAGGGAGCCUGAGAAACGGCUACCACAUCCAAGGAAGGCAGCAGGCACGCAAAUUACCCACUCUCAGAACGAGGAGGUAGUGACGAAAAAUAACAAUACGGGACUAUUAAUAGGCCCCGUAAUUGGAAUGAGUACAAUAUAAAUCCUUUAACGAGGAUCUAUUGGAGGGCAAGUCUGGUGCCAGCAGCCGCGGUAAUUCCAGCUCCAAUAGCGUAUGUUAAAGUUGCUGCGUUUAAAAAGCUCGUAGUUGUAUCUCAGUUCAUGUCAAUUGGUCAAUCACUUAAUAGUGAUUACUUUUUGACUGAACAUUAAACCGAUUUGUUUUCUGAUGCUCUUUACCGAGUGUU
rnacentral:rRNA from 1 species